UACGUAGGGGACGAGCGUUGUCCGGAAUUACUGGGCGUAAAGCGCGUGUAGGCGGAUGAGCAAGUCUGCUGUGAAAGCUCCUGGCUUAACCGGGAGUGGUCGGUGGAAACUGCUCGUCUGGAGGACGGUAGAGGUAGGUAGAAUUCCCGGUGUAGUGGUGAAAUGCGUAGAGAUCGGGAGGAAUACCUGUGGCGAAGGCGGCCUACUGGGCCGGACCUGACGCUGAGACGCGAAGGCGUGGGGAGCGAACGGG
rnacentral:rRNA from 1 species